rnacentral:rRNA from 1 species
AUGGGCACUCGGUAGAGGGGUUUUGAUUAUCUCUCUGCCGGAGCUAACGCAUUAAGUGCCCCGCCUGGGGAGUACGGCCGCAAGGCUAAAACUCAAAAGAAUUGACGGGGGCUCGCACAAGCGGUGGAGCAUGUGGCUUAAUUCGAUGCAACGCGAAGAACCUUACCGGGGCUUGACAUGGUAGAAGUAGAAUCCUGAAAGGGUGACGAUCGGUAUCCAGUCCGAAGCUAUCACAGGUGUUGCAUGGCUGUCGUCAGCUCGUGUCGUGAGACGUU